AUCGCUUCUCGGCCUUUUGGCUAAGAUCAAGUGUAGUAUCUGUUCUUAUCAGUUUAAUAUCUGAUACGUCCCCCAGCGGGGGGGACUACAUAUUAAGCGGAUUUUUAGAACAGGGAGUCGGCAAAGGAGCUUGCUCCAUCCGCUCCACGCAUCGACCCAGUAUUGCAGUGCCUCUGGGAGCGGUGCACUUUCU
ensembl:snRNA U2 U2 spliceosomal RNA